CUUGGGACUACAGUUUUCCACGUGAAUGCUUGUUCCCUUUGUAACCACUGGAAAGCUGGGUCCUGGUUCCCAGUGUCAAUUGAAUAAUGAGGAUAUAGUUUUGAGAAAAAGGAAAAAAGAUUUAUUGCUUUGCUAGCAAAGGAGAAACACAGGGAUCUCCUGUCCCUGAGGCUGUGCUUCUGCCUAUCAGGGAGAACUGGGCUUUAAAAGAAGCUAUUCAAAGACCACACAAAAUAGGGCUGAGGAUGUGGCUCAGUGGUCAAGUGCCCCUGAGUUCAAUCCUUGUCCUCACCCCCUCCCCCCAAAAAAGGCUACAUUCCAGGGGUGUCCUGACAGGGGAUCCCAGGUGCAACCUGAAGGUGUGUUGAAAUUCACUUCUUAGAUCCUCUGGUAGAUAUCUCCUUCCUGUGGUGAGUGUGUUCAAGGACAAUUAACUAGGGGAAGAAAAGAUAACUGUCUCCCUCAUGUUAGGGAGGGGAAGAGGGGAGAAGAGAGAAAAGCACAUGCCCCUUUAAAAAUAAGACUCAGAGCAAGGAGGGCUAUGUACAAAAGGUAAAGUGGACCACUGUUACACCUUCAGCUUUGUUUUCAGAAAUGUUUAACAUUGGUUUCACUAAUGCUUUCAACAAAUAUUAAUAAGUAUCUUCCAGGUGCCAGGUACUGACCAGGAACAGAACAAGCAAAACAUCCUGUCUUCAUGCAGUGCAAAUUCUAGCAGGUGACUGGAACAGUAACCAUCCUGCUCAUGAGGAAGCCAGAAGAGUCUACAGAAGAGAAAAUGGAAGAGAUGGACAAAGAGCUGCAGAGGUGAGUGAUGUUAAGAAAAGGGCCUCUGGGGAUUCUGCCGAGUUUUACAGUUCCUGUUUCUGCACUCCUGGCUCACCUUUGCCCUGGAGAUAACUCCUUAAUAAUAACAUAGACUUACUUAUUAUUUACUUACACUGGUACCUUUUGAAACUUGGAAUUGAAAAGACCACAUCUGUGGUGCUCAGAUCUAACAGAUGAAAAAUGUCACCAGAAGGUUAUAUAUAAUUAUAAUGCACCAAUAAAAAAUAUGGGAAAAAAAUGUCACCAGUAGUGUAGUCAUUAAAACAAAUGUUUAUGUGAAUGCAGGAAGUCAGAAUGAAAUGAGAGGCAUUUCCAGAGGCCACUAAGAGCAGCAAUAAAUAAACAAACGGCCCAUAAAAAGAAUGAAGUCCCUAUAAAAAGCAGAGCAGAGAACUGUAAAAAGCUUAUCAGUCUAGGACCAUUUAGACCAUGAGAGGCCAGCAGAGACAGACCCAAGUGUUCAUAAGGCUUCAUUAGGUUGUAGAGCUUGGUAAGACUGAUGUGUGUUACAAUGGCUUUUAGCCAUAAAAGCCCAGCGAGAUCAUGUUCUUUGUUCCUGAAUGUCUUCACCAAAAAUUGUUUACAUGUUUAGGCAUUUAAAAAGGUAAGAUUCAUUUAUAUGGCAUACAGAUAUUGUGAAAUUUAUCAGUUUAUAACAUAAUGACAGAUGCAUGUGCAAAUAUAUGUGUACUUGUACAUCCAGAAAUAGAACAUUUCAAUAAAGAAUAAGGAGAAAGUAAAAGUGAGAAAUAUUUAAAAAUUUUAAUGUAUAUAUGAAUUCAAAUGCACUAAUUAAAAUGAUAAUAAUAGAAGGUAGAUUAGUAGAGAAGAAUAGGGAGGAUGGAGGGGAGGGAAAGAGAAGGUGCUGGGGAAGGACACUGAUCACACUACAUGCAUUUACAGAUAUAGCAUCGUGAAUUCUAUUAUGUAUCAUUACAAUGCAUCAAUAAAUUUAUUUUCUGUUUUUCUCCAUGA